rnacentral:misc_RNA from 1 species
UGGCUCUGGCAUCGAUGAAGAACGCAGCGAAAUGCGAUAAGUAAUGUGAAUUGCAGAAUUCAGUGAAUCAUCGAAUCUUUGAACGCACAUUGCGCCCCUUGGUAUUCCGAGGGGCAUGCCUAUUCGAGCGUCAUUAUCACCCCUCGAGCACGGCUUGGUGUUGGGACGUGCCGUGACGGCAGCCCCUAAAGUCAGUGGCAGUGCCGGCAGGCUCUAAGCGUAGUAGAAUCUCUCGCUAUUGGGUCCUGCUGAGCACCCGCCAGAACCCCUUCUUUCAAUGAUUGACCUCGGAUUAGGUAGGGAUACCCGCUGA